UUACUUCCACAGCACACAUACUAACACUGGAAUGAUGCAGAAAAGAUUAGCAUGGAUCCUGUGCAAAGAUGCCACGUAAAUUAGUGAAGCACUCCAUAUUUUU
ensembl:snRNA U6 U6 spliceosomal RNA